CGCUUGGAAACGAGACCCAAAUUCAGUGAUGUAUUCGCUCCCACCAAACCGUCGUUCCACGAUAUGGAGCCUUGGCGCUCCGAUUUGGUCCAAAUUGGCCUUUCCCGCAAAACAUACCCCCUCGCUGCCUUAUCCCCUCCCUCCUCGGGCAAAAAGAAAAGAAGGGGAGGAACAGCGGCGGCCACCAGGGAGCUCGGCCGCCACCACCAGGGAGCUCGGCGGCGAGUCCCACGGAUCUCCGCGGCCGCACCGAGAUCUGUGAACUGUGCGUCAAUCUGCAGGCCAAGUGAAGGUAUAUGGCAGAAAUCCCCUAUGUUUUCUAUGCAUUUGUGCAUGUGAUGUCUUGCUACAAUGUUUUUCAUCCUAGAUAAUCAAAUUGUACAGCUCAAUGUCGGAUCAAUUGGAGUUGGUUGAGUGGAUAAAUGAAGAAAAUAAAAGACGGAAGAGGAAAAGAAUUGUUCUGACUAAAUUGUUUGUUGAAACAUGUGCUCUUGCUUUAGCCUUUGUCACUACACAACGGAAUAGGGGACCAAGGGACAUAGGAACUUUUAAUGAUGAUGAGGACAAGAUUAGGAAUAGGAAAUAUUUGCUUAAAUGCAUGUAUGAUGGAUCUGCAGUGGCAUGCUAUGAUCAAUUGCAGUGGAUAAAUGCUAUUUGUUAUUGUUUCAAAUUUUGUGUUAUGUUAUCGUAAAAAAAUAUUGUUGUCGUUGUAUCACCAUUUGUGUUUCCUGAUGCAUUUCUAGAAUAUUUAAUUAUUUUAUUGCUAUAUAUUCAAUCAUAGUCAGAUUUCAUUUUUUAGUGAUGUAGAACAAGGUACAACCUGGUAAUGUAGCUAUGCAAUUUCAAAGUUUGUCAUCCAAACCAGAUUCUGUAUUGAAAUCUCAGAGGCAUUUCAAGGGCCAAAUCGCCGGACAACCAAACAGAUAAAAACCCGCAAGGACCAAAAAGUACCUGAACCAAAUGUUGUGAAAAUCUUCAAGAAUUGCCACACCAGCAAGACGAAGGGCAUGAAUACAUCAGUCAAGGCCGCUAUUCAAGCUAUGGAACAUAUGGUGAAACCGCCACCUUCUGAAGGUGACGAGACAACUAUAACCGCAAUGUCACCUCUUGCUGCAGUGGGAGCCUAGGAGAAACGAAGGCGAAGGUUAUGGUGCUCCAUCGGACUGUACAACAUGAAAACGUAACAGUCAGGUCAAAUGAACUGAGCUUCUGAACUUCUGGUGGUGCAUUUAUCCGCAAGACUGUUAACUUUGAUGCCAACCUUCCUUUUGUUUUAUGGUUGUAAUUUGUUUUGUUGCGAUACAAAAUUUGUUUUUAACGUGUAGCGGCCGGCUGAAGAAAACAGCAAGCCAUUUUUGUAUAGUGUAGGGUGUUCCCUAUAUUUGCACCGGUGGCGAACUUUGAUGCCCAAUAAAAGUAAUCUGUGCAAUCGCCUUAAUAGUCUAGCGUUAGUUUCUGGCCUAUUUAUUUCCCUAGUCUUCUUUUUUCUUGGUUUGCUAGUGGCCGCAACAACAAUGAGUUACUGGAUUUUGUGAUAGGAGUGAGGGUUAAGUGUGAGCGGGAUGGUGUUGGGGUUGGUAUGUGAA